rnacentral:rRNA from 1 species
UAAGUGAAUAGUGAAACCUGGUGGCUCAACCAUUCAGACUAUUAUUCAAACUGGCAAACUCGAGAACAGCAGAGGUAACUGGAAUUUCUGAAGUAGGGGUAAUAUCCGUAGAUAUCAGAAGGGACACCAAUGGCGUAGGCAGGUUACUGGGCUGUUUCUGACACUGAGGCACGAAAGCGUGGGGAGCGAACCGGAUUAGAUACCCGGGUAGUCCACGCCGUAAACUAUGGAUACUA